GCCUGCGUUGUCUAAUGGUUAUGACGUCAGACUUCUAUUACGUAAUGAUCUGGAGGUUGCGAGUUCGAGUCUCGCCGUGGGUA